AGAUUGAACGCUGGCGGCAUGCCUUACACAUGCAAGUCGAACGGCAGCACGGGAGCAAUCCUGGUGGCGAGUGGCGAACGGGUGAGUAAUACAUCGGAACGUGCCCAAUCGUGGGGGAUAACGCAGCGAAAGCUGUGCUAAUACCGCAUAAGAUCUACGGAUGAAAGCAGGGGAUCGCAAGACCUUGCGCGAAUGGAGCGGCCGAUGGCAGAUUAGGUAGUUGGUGAGGUAAAGGCUCACCAAGCCUUCGAUCUGUAGCUGGUCUGAGAGGACGACCAGCCACACUGGGACUGAGACACGGCCCAGACUCCGUACGGGAGCAGCAGGUGGGGUAAUUUUGGACAAUGGG
rnacentral:rRNA from 1 species